rnacentral:misc_RNA from 1 species
GUGAAAAAUGGGCUUGGUGGGCUUAAAGGAAAUGAAGUAAAUUUGGAUCCAUCUAGACAGAAGCCUAAGGAUGGAGAGUUUUUUCCUUUCACUAGGAGCAAUCCCAUAGUAGGCAACAUGAAGGAAGUGCCAACUUCUCUGGAUAAAGAGUGUCACACUGCAGUUCGUAUUGAUAAAGAGGUGGUAGUUAUAGUGGGAAGAGUCCUGUGCAGAUAGGAAGAUUUAGACGUGGAGGCUCUGUUGCUAUGAGUAAUCAUUUGGAAAGGGAUUUUAUUUUGUCUACCUUGCUAGGUAAACCUCCAGAUGAUGUUAGGAUGGUGGAUGAGAAUCAAUUGUGUCAUUUGGAGGAUGAUGUUGAUUCGAAGGAGGAAGACUCUGAGGGCAUGGAAUGGUGAGAUCCCUAUUUGAGGGACUAAGCUUGUUAGUGGAGUUUAGUUCUCUUUACCCAUGUUUCUUAUGUCUAUUUUAUCUUGGAAUUGUCAGGGUCUUCUAGCCCCACUUUUUUGAGAACUUUGAAGAUGUUUGUCUAGAAGUUUAAGCCUUCUUUGGUUGUAAUUCUUGAGCCUAAGAUUAGUGGGUUACGAGCUGAUAAAGUUUAUUUCCAGAAUGGGUUUUUUGUAUUCUCAUCGAGUUAAGGCACGGUGUUUUUCAAGGGGGUAUUUUUUUUUAUGUUGAAAUUUGAAAUGGAGUGUGGUUCCUUUAGUCGUGAGCAGUUUGUGCAUGUUCAUAUUUUUGCUGGUAAUUCUUUAUUGAUUGAAUAUUCUAUAUUAUAUGCUAGCCCAAUCUUUAGUAAGAGAAGAGUGCUCUAAGAGUUGCUUAUUUGUGUUAAUACAUCCAUGAGGAGAAAUUAGAUAUUGUUGGGGGAUUUUAAUGCUAUUGUGGGAUAAGAAGAAAGGUGUGGAGGUUCUAGAAAUAGAAAUGGGAUUUGUUCAGUGUUUGCUAAUUGGUUUAGAGGUUCUAAUAUGAUUGACCAUGUUCAGGGGUCCCAGAUUCACAUGGAGAAGGGGAAAUUUGCAAAAGAGGCUUGAUAGGGUUUUGUGCAAUAAUGAGUGCAGGUUGAAGUUCCUUAAGGCAGCUGCGAGGCAUCUUCCCAUGAUUAGUUCAGAUCAUCGGCCUGUAUUAAGGAAUUUGAGCAGUUUUUUGGCCUGUGAUUGGGCUAGUAGGCCAUUUCAUUUUCUUGCAACCUGGCUUACUCAUAUUUCAUUUAGGGAGUUUGUUAAGAGGAAUUGGAAGUAUGAUAGUUCUCUCAUGAAUUCGGGGGUGAGUUCACUAGUUAGCUUAAAAGGU